CUCCGCAUCCACACCCUGAAUGCGCCCGAUUCCAUCUGAUCUUGGAAGCUAAGCAAGGUCGGGCCCAGUCGUUAGUUGGAUGGGAGAUUUAGAGU
rnacentral:rRNA from 1 species